rnacentral:rRNA from 1 species
GACGAACGCUGGCGGCGUGCCUAAUACAUGCAAGUCGAGCGGAAGUUGGAGAGCUUGCUCUUCAACUUUAGCGGCGGACGGGUGAGUAACACGUGGGCAACCUGCCCUGCAGAUCGGGAUAACUCCGGGAAACCGGUGCUAAUACCGAAUAGUUUUCGCCACCUCCUGGUGGCGUACGGAAAGACGGUUUCGGCUGUCACUGCAGGCUGGGCCCGCGGCGCAUUAGCUAGUUGGUGGGGUAACGGCCCACCAAGGCAACGAUGCGUAGCCGACCUGAGAGGGUGAUCGGCCACACUGGGACUGAGACACGGCCCAGACUCCUACGGGAGGCAGCAGUAGGGAAUCUUCCGCAAUGGACGAAAGUCUGACGGAGCAACGCCGCGUGAGUGACGAAGGUUUUCGGAUCGUAAAACUCUGUUGUGAGGGAAGAACAAGUACCACUUAACUACUGGUACCUUGACGGUACCUCACCAGAAAGCCACGGCUAACUACGUGCCAGCCGCCGCAGUAACAC